rnacentral:lncRNA from 1 species
GUGCAGAGCCCAGGCGCGUGGGUCGGUGUCGGGUGUGUGUGUACGUCUGUGUGUGUAAUGAAACUGGACGCCUUCCUUCCCGGCGAUCUUGACUUAACCUGUCAGCAGAGGGCUUGAGGUUAGACCACAGGUUGAACCUAGGUGGCUGCUGGAGAGAAACACUCUGUCUUCCUGCUUUGAGGACAGCUGAAGUCUUGCCACUUCUUCUGGAUGCUCUGACCAUCAGUAAGCCACCUCAGUCUCACCCUCCGCAGAAUGCAGGCCCACUCCGUUGCUGAAGGGCCUCCUCCUUGGGCCAGGGCGCCUGCUUCUGCCAGUGGCAUCAUCACCCCACUCCUCAGCCGCCAGUCAUCAGAGACACGGUCUGACUUUGUUACCCCGGCUGGAGUGCAGUGGUGCAAUCAUGGCUCACUGCAGCCUUAACCUCCUGGGCUCAAGUGAUCCUCUCGCCAAGGCUAGGAUAAGUAGCUAGGACUACAGAUGCGCCCCAUCACGCCCAGCUAAUUUUACAACUUCUGUAGAGAUGGAGUGUUGCUGGGUUGCCCAGGCUGGUCUUGAAUUCCUGGGCUCAAGCGAUCCUCCUGUGUCCGGAAUUGGUGGGUUCUUGGUCUCACUGACUUCAAGAAUGAAGCCGCGGACCCUCGCGAGUCUGUAUCCACCAGCUACUCUUCCAGAUUCAUGAGGCAAGGCCUGCCUGCUCACCUGGCUGGCCCCAAGCACCUCUUCAACCUGUUGCCACCGUCCUGCCUUGCUGCCCUUCUCAGCUCAUCCAGCAGGGUCUCCAAGUCGUGGAAACAGAAGCACAUAUACACACAUGCUCAUAUGUACAUGCCCACAGUCACAUAAGCACACCGAGAAACACCAUCGCAGACAUGUUCUCACAAGCACAUGUGCAUAACACUCACUACCCCUCACGCGUAUACACAUUAAUACACACACUCAUGCACACUCAGUCUUACACACACAGACACACAGCCAUAAUCACUGUUGUUGGUUGAAUUGUGCCCCCCCAUCCCCACCAAAAAGAUAAGUUGGAGUCCUAACCCCCAGUACCUGGGGAUGUGACCGUAGUUGGAAAUAGGGUGUUUGUAGAUGUAAUCAAAUUAAGAUGAGAUCUUACUGGAUUAGAGUGGGCCUUAAAUCCAGUGACUGGUGUCCUUAUAAGGAGAAAAAGAUUUGAAAACAGAGACAUGGAGACACAGAGCAGAAGGCCAUGUGAUGAUGGAGUCAGAGAUUGGAGUGAUGCAGCUAUGAGCCGAGAAAUACCAAGGUGCUGGCAGCCCCCAGAAGCAAGGAGAGAGGCAAGGAACAAUCUCCAUCAGAGCCUCUGGAAGAAACAGACUCUGCCAACACCUUGAUUUCAGACUUUUGGCCUCCUUCACUGUGCGAGAAUACGUUUCUGUUGUUUUAAACUACUGAGUCACCAAGUCUGUGGUACUGUGUUAUGGCAGCCCCGGCAACAAAUCCAAUCACACACACACACACACACACACACACACACACACACACACACACACACACAGCUGGCUCCAGGCUCAGUGAUGAGCUCAGAGGAGUUCCCCUUGGGAGCUGCUCUUUCUCUGUCUUCCUUCCUUAGUGAUUGGUCCAGUGGAUCCACAAAAGCUCAUGGCCCAGAGCAGGAGCCCAGUCAUUUUUAAUUCCUCUUCCCUGGAGUUCUUAACCAUGCGUUGCCCUCAAAAUCUGCUCUCAAGAUUUGGGUUGCCAUAUUUAGGAGCACCAGAAAACAUACAGGAAUGCUGUGUCUGCUUGCAUCAUAUUAAUUAAAAACUGGAAAUAACCUAAAUGUCCCAGAAUAGGUACAUAAACUGUGGCAUAUCCACUUAAUGGAAUACUACUCAGCAAUACAAAAGGAAAACCUAGUGUUACUUGAGCAACAUGGAUGAACUUCACAGACAUAAUAUUGCACAGCACGAGGCAGACACAAAAGUGUGCAUAUGCUAUGAUUCCAUUUACAUGAGAUUCAAGAACAGGCAAAGCAGAUCUAUGGGGAUAGAAGUCAGAAUAGUGGUUACCUCUGGAAGGUGGAAUUGACUGGGAGGGGCUUCAGGGAACCUCCUGGGGUGCUGAAAACAUUCUGUGCUUGCACCGGGUGGUGGUUAUGUGGGCAUUACAUAAAAUUCACCAAGCUGCACCCUUAAUGAUUUGUACAAUUUGAUGCACAAAUCUAACAUCUCAAGAAGAAUAAAUUUUACAAAGUACCUAAGAAGCAA